rnacentral:rRNA from 1 species
GACGUAGGGCGCGAGCGUUGUCCGGAUUUAUUGGGCGUAAAGAGCUCGUAGGCGGCUUGUCGCGUCGUCCGUGAAAACCUGCAGCUCAACUGCAGGCUUGCGGUCGAUACGGGCAGGCUGGAGUUCGGUAGGGGAGACUGGAAUUCCUGGUGUAGCGGUGAAAUGCGUAGAUAUCUGGAGGAACACCGGUGGCGAAGGCGGCAUCCUGGACCGGCAUUGACGCUGAGGCGCGAAAGCCAGGGGAGCAAACGGG